ensembl:lncRNA
GGGAGACAUGAAAAGUCUUGUCUGCCCCAGGGGAACUGCAGGAAAGAAGAGAGUAAAUGGGCGGAGGUCUUUUCUUUUAAAGGGGUCCAUUGCACCAACGUGCAAACUAGUACUCAUGGAACCCUGGGUUGACCAGGGUACUGAGUGCAUUCCAGGGGCAGGCCAGCGUAAUCCCUGAGUCGUUACAAUGGCUAUGCUUGGUAAUGAGCCUACCAGGUAAAGUUUAGUGUCAAAACCGCAGUUCAGUUGAACCUUAGUUGGAUCACAGGAGCCAACACAGCAACCAGCGAAGCCCACAGUUAUUCUAUCCCCACAUGCUCACUGCCCCAUGUAUACACAUGCACUCACACAAAAAUAAGUUGCAGGAAGCAAAAACAGGAGCAUUUCUAGGAGUUGGAGGCCAGUGUGGUCCACAUAUCACGUUUCAGGCCGGUGGGUAUUACCAGCCAGAUUCUCCACCCGAGAGAGGCAGGUUAGGGCUUAUAAAACCAAAGACCACAAUUGCAUUAUACCAGGGGCAGAGCCGGUGGCACAAGUCUCAAAGUUUCUUUAACAUAGGUCUCCAAAGCUUAGCUGAUUAGAACAAUGACUUCCUGGGGCAUGCCUGGUCAAGAAUGAAACUCAGCACGGCUGCGGAGCAGUUAAGAGGAAGCUCACAAAAUGGAGUCAGCGAAAGCAAAAUGGGGUUCCCAUCAGUUCCUUUCCAUCUUCUCCAUCAUUUUUUCUCUCAAGCAGCUCUGGCGCCGCAAAAUGCUUAUAUAAACUAAUAACUAAUGGAUACCAGAAGCCACAGAAAAUUUGGGGCUGGGGCUUGUGAGCACUUUUUUUUCCUCAAGGGCGUAUCAAAGCUUAAUUUCAAACGCGUCCUUCCCGGCUUAUAAAACGUUAUCCUUUUUAUUUAUUUAUUUAUUUAUUUAUUUUACUUUAAUAAUUGGGAGAAAGGGUCAUUAAAUCGCCCAGGUUCCCGGUCUUAAAAUGCCUCAGCAUCCUCAGAAGCAGGGCAAGAGUCUGUGACCCGAGCCACAGGCCAAGCCGUCGAGCAUCCUAUCUCAGACACCGUAGAAGGGCCUUUUCCUGCUCUGUUCUGUUGUUUUUAACCGACCCGCACGGCUAGGCGCGGGCCGACGCGCUGAGUUUCUGCUAACAAGUCCGGAGCCCGUCACAAUGGCGGAGGCCGGACUCUGAGGGACCCAGGCUGCUGGGCGGCACCGCUCCAAGCGCCGAGAACCCACCUGGGCCGCGGCAUCUCCUCGGGGUCAGGACACCGCACACCGUGCCCCGCCGCUCGGGGUGGUGCACCCGCUCUCCCGGCCGCUUACCAACGGACGCCGGAACCUUCACGUUACUCCCCGGAUGGCGGCGGUGCGGGUGCACUUGUGGGUCCACUUCGCCGUGGCCUCUCUAGGACAGCGGAAGUAUGCCUUCUGGGGACUCUCUAGCAAAGCCGGAGGAAUGCCAUCUCAGCUGCUCUCUGCCCGGAUCCGCCCUGGCUGCCCUGGCAAGGCUCAGCUCGCGCUCCUGGCUAGGCGAGGUGGCUGGCGUGCUUCCUG